UCCCUGGUAGUCCAGUGGCUAAGACUCCACACUCCCAAGCGGGGGGCCUGGGUUUGAUUCCCAGUCAGGGAA
rnacentral:tRNA from 1 species